GGGAGGUGGCGCUGCUGUGGGCCGCGCUGAGGCUUCGCGUCGCGGGUUCGGGGCUCCCGGGGGUCCCUGGAGGCUCGAGAUGACUUCGUUCAGCGGUUCCUCCACGCCUUCUGACAGAUAAGGAGGUGCUGUCCUUGUCCAAAGAACUUACAACACCUGCCGUGAUAAAAGGAUGGGUUUAAGGCUCUGGCUUCAAGUUUCUUCUACCAGCAAAUGAACAAAUACAACCUCGUUCAGCAUCUCACUCAGUGUCCCAUUCAGCUUGAUCUUCAUCCAUUGUCCAGAGCUUACUGCUUUGUAUUAGCUCUGCAGAACAGUAGCACGAAGCAAUAAUCAGUGCUUCAUCCUCACUUUUUUUACUUAAUUUUUAACACUGGUUAACUCUGUAACAUAGACUGAGUGGAUGAUCUCCAUUUCAUCAGGAACGAAUUUAGUCUACACCAUCAAUCCCAUUUUGAAGCAGCCACUGAUAUGAGCUGUUUCUCCUUGGGAGACAGAUGAGUCUGUGUUUCAAGGAAGGCCAUUCCAAUGCAAGGUAUCCGUAAAAUAUUAAUCUUUUAAUAUAUUUUAAUAGAAGCUUGGUUACGAACGAGGCUACUCACAUCAGUGAUGUUCUGUUUCCUAUAUGGAAAUACGGUACAAAUGACUGGAAAAACAUUUGGGUGUAAAGGAAAACGGAGAAGGAUCAGUUCAGUAUUAUAACUAAAUGCAUGCUGAAUAACGGCCAUGUAGAGCAAGCUUGAGGGACAGUUAUCAAGGUAAUUAGUAUCUCUUCCUUUUGUCCUUUAGUUCUGGAACUGAAUGUCCAGGCAGAACUAAAGCAAGGCAUGUUAGAAACACCAUAUGUACAAAGCACCACUGAUGGAUUGGGAAAAGAUUGUUAUGUCAGUAUGGUGGGUAGGGAAACUGAGGCAUGGAACGUGGUGUUAAUUGGCAGAAGACCACCUCUGUGUCUGGAUUUCUCACUAACAUCCUCUGUGACCCACAGAGUGAGGAACAGAACCAAAUUGUUUGUUCUCUCCACUGUGGUGUAGACAAUUUUGAUAGCUUCAACCUGGUCUUGGUUCCUGCUCUGACAAUCAAUGGCACAGGGCCGGAUCAGACAGCAAAGAUGCCCCUCAGUAGUGUCAGCCCUUACUGACUCUUAGGCAGUGGGAGAUCCCAUAACAUUCAUCUCUACAGCCUUGUUCUGACCAAUUAGAGUAUCGGUGUAGGGAUUAAAAUGGCCAGCAUUGUAAUCAUAGUCAGGAAACAGCAAAUCAAAGCAGGAGAACUGGAAUUUCGAGGGUCCAUCAGGGUGCUGACCAGUGAGUUUGACCAGGAUAGCGGAUCCUUGAGAUCUGAGAACUGCACCUCUUUAUUUAAGAGGAGGAAAACCAGCCGAGGUCGUACUACAAAAAAAAAAAAAAUAAGCCACUGUCCACUUGCUCUGGCUGCAAAGCACAUUUUCAAUAAGUUUCUGCUCUAACAAGCUGCAUCAGUUUCAUCUCAGUAGAUCUGAUGGUUACUGAGCAGUGCUCAAUGUUCUGGAGGGUGCCAGGCACAUAAUUGUUUUUACAACAUUGUAAAAUGAAUCAGACUGAAAUUAGUGUCACUCAGCAGAACCACUUUCCUUCCUUUUAAAUUACUUAAUCCGAGGGUUAAUCAAAAAGAAAAUGAAGUUUCGACACUGCCCUUCAGCUAAGGGCAAGCACAGGUUCAGCUGCCUGCACUGCAUCUGCCUGUGAAGUGCUUUGCAUAUCAGCUCCUGCACUGAUACGCGUGCUGCUUCCCCACUGCUAUUUGAAGGGGGGAGGAUAGGGCUGUCUUGGGAGUGCUUCCCACACGGAAGUCAAAUGGGGAGAGGAAGGAAGCAAAAGCCAUUUUGUCAUCUAAUUCCUGAGAAAUGAGAGCUAGAGAAAUUAUAGGGAAAGGGGUUUUUCUGCAGGAAGGUCCUUCCGUGAGCACACAGCCUGUUCCAGCCAUUAGCUAUAAAGUACACAGGGGUUCUCAGCCCUCUUUGGUGCCUCUUGUCCUCAGGAGCUGAGAUGUGAGUGGUUAAUAUGGUCGGGAUAUGCCAUCAUGUAAGAACCUCAAAUAGCAUCUCCUCCAUUCCUCCGGUCUUUAUUGGCUCCUUGCUGAGACAAUCCCAGCUUCUGUUGUUCUGCCCACUUUGAACUGUGUAUUUUGGAAACAAUUCUAAUAAAUUUCCC
rnacentral:lncRNA from 1 species